AAACUUUUUUUUUUAAGGUUAAUUUGUGUAAUUUAUACAUAUGCUUUAUAUGUAAGCAAAGUUAUUCAUGCAGCUAUAUUUUUAUAAUAUCAUGUCAAUAAAUAAUAUAUUUUAUAAUAUAUUAGUAAAUAUACAUAAUAUACAUAAUAUAUACAUAAUAUAUUUUUAUUUUAAAAACCAUGCUGUAUCACCAUUACACCAGCUAUUACUUACUUAAGAUUCUAUGCAACUGGAACCUUUCAAGUUGCAAUUGGUGAUUUUGGUGAUAUUCAUAAAUCCACCAUGUGCAGGAUUAUAAAAAAGGUUUCAGAAGUUAUAGUUUUUCUUUACGUCCACAAUAUGUCAAUUGUCCUAAUUCUAAUCAAGAUUUAAGGCGUACGAAAGAAAAUUUCUACAAUAUUGCUCGUUUCCCUAAGGUUAUAGGAGCUAUUGACUGUACUCAUGUUAAAAUACAAUCGCCAGGUGGAAAAGAGGCAGAAGUAUAUAGAAAUAGAAAAGGAAUAUUUUCUAUAAAUAUACAGGCUGUUUGCGACAGAACUUUAAAAUUUUUAGAUAUUGUAGCACGGUAGCCUGGUUUAACCCAUGAUUCUACCCAUGAUAUUUAAUGCUAGCAGAAUAUGUGCAAGAUUUCUUAAUGGUGAAAUGGAAGAUGCUUUUUUACUUGGAGACAGUGGCUAUGCUUGUUCCAAUUUUUUGUUGACACCACUGCUUGGAACACAUACUCAAGGUGAGCAAAUACAUAUAUAAUGAAUCCCAAAUACGAACACGAAAUGUUGUUGAACGAAGUUUUGGAGUAUGGAAACGAAGAUUUGCUGCACUGGCAUUUGAUUUUGGAAUGCAACCCUUAACUACAAAAACUGUAAUAGUAGCUACUGCAGUACUACAUAAUAUUGUAAGAUGUAGGAGAGCCUGAUCCUCGAUUUGAUGAAGAUAUUGAAGCUGUAAUUGAGGAAUUGGAAAUCCAAAAUGUACAAUACCAUAAUGACAUCAAUAAUGCUAAUGCACGGCUAUCAUUAAUUGAUGUAUAUUUUGCACGGUAACAUUUUCUAUAUAAUAAAUUAUAAAAUAUAAUAAAAAAUAUUUUUUAAUGACUAUUUUUACUAAUUUUUGUUUACAAUUUUGUUCGUUAAAAUGUAUCAUGGUUAAAAUUAAUUUAUUCGAGAUUGGAAUCAUGAUUAGAAAUUAAAAAUUAAUAUCAGAAAUGGAAAAUUGUAAAUAUAAUUUUUAUUUACGAAUGAUUUAUCAUGAUUAGAAAUGGAAAAUUAAUAUCAAAAAUGGAAAAUUGUAAAUAUAAUUUUUAUUUAAGAAUGAUUUAUGUUUAAGAAUGAUGAUCAUGAAAAUUUAUUUGUAGUUAAUGUAACUGUAUUUUAUAAUUUUAUUUUUUAUUAAUAACUCAGUUUU